CCAAUAGCGUAUAUUAAAAUUGUUGCAGUUAAAAAGCUCGUAGUUGAAUUUCGGGAUUCUACCGUUGGUCGGGCUAACAAGUCUGUACUGAUGUGUAGAAUUUCUACCUUCUGGGGAACUAUCAUGUUAUUAAUUUAGCGUGGUGGGAAACCAGGACCUUUACCUUGAAAAAAUUAUAGUGUUCAAAGCAGGCUUACGUCUGAAUACAUUCGCAUGGAAUAAUAGAAUAGGACGGUGGUCCUGUUUUGUUGGUUUCUGAAUCACCGUAAUGAUUAAUAGGGAUAGUUGGGGGCAUUAGUAUUCAAUUGUCAGAGGUGAAAUUCUUGGAUUUAUUGAAGAUUAACUUCUGCGAAAGCAUUUGCCAAGGAUGUUUUCACUAAUCAAGAACGAAAGUUAGGGGAUCGAAGACGAUCAGAUACCGUCGUAGUCUUAACCAUAAACUAUGCCGACUAGGGAUCGGACGAUGUUAAAUUUUAUUGACUCGUUCGGCGCCUUACG
rnacentral:rRNA from 1 species